ensembl:lncRNA
GCCCACUCGCAUUUCCCCCAUCCCUGAGGUAUUUUCCUGUUCAUGGAUCCGUUAUUAUUUAAUAAAGGUUGGCUGAUGACGUCAGCAUCGCGUUUGUGACGUCAUAGGUGUGUCGGUGAUGUCAUUUCCUCGUUGAAACUCGUAGCGGUCCCCACUGUCAGCUGACAUUGCCCUUUUAAGGCAGCAUUGCCGUUUUAAUGGCAUUGCCCCUUUAAGGAUUUGUGGUCCCUACAGGUUGCAUUGCCCUUUUAAGACCUUCAAAAACUCCCCGAUUUUCCCCAAAAUUUCAAUUUUUAGCCCCAAAAUGUCAUUUCUUGAUUUCAUACUCACCAUUUCCACUCUAAAAAUCACAAUUUGGGCUUUUUUACUCCUCAAAUCUUCAUUUUUCCUCUCAAAAUCUGAGGUUUCACCCCCAAAAUCUCAUUUUUUCGCCAUGAGAUAACCCAAGAUCACCAUUUUUGCACCCAAAAUCAACAUUGUCCUUCCAAAGCAAACAUUUCCGCCCACAUUUAACCAUUUCACCUCCAAAGUCCAAACUUUUAGCCCCAAAAUUUAAAUUUCCCACUGCAAAAUCUUCAUUUUUAACCCUUUAUCCCCGAUUUUUCCUCCAAAAAUUAAUUUGAACCCCAAAAUCCCUAUUUUUAUCAUUUUUCUUCCCGUUUUCUUUCCCAAAUUCCAUUUCCUGACCCCAAAUUCUCAAUUUUUAUCCCCAAACCACCCAAUUUUUGCCCAAAUCCUUCACUUUUAACCCCAAAAUCUCUCAUUUCAUCCAUCGCCCCUUUAAGAGCGGUCCCCACCCGCCAUCACCGCUUUAAAAUCAUAGAGAAGUCCUCCAAGCCGGCUAGAGCGGCGGACUUCCGGCGGCGCUCCGCCCGCACUUCCGGUUUACUCACUGUUCCAAAAUGGCCGCCCCCUCCUUUUCCAAAAUGGCGGCGCCCGCAUUGGAGCGGAUCCUUUCGGAUCUCCUGGAACCCGACAGCGCCGGGAUCCGCCAGGCCACGGAGCGGCUGCGAGAGGCGCUGGAGGAGCCGGAGGGGCCCGAAGGCCUCGCGGAGCUGCUGAGGGGGGCGGGGAGGCCGCAGGUCUGAGGGCUAAAAAAUAGCAGGAAAAUUUGGAUUUUUAGGAUUUUAAACAAAAAAUUUGCGUGUUUUGGGGGGAAUUUUGCGGUUUUGGGGAAAAAUUGGGCGGUUUUGGGGGCAAUUUUGGCAUUUUUGCGGGAAGUUUGGGGAGUCCUGCGGUGAUUUUGGGAAGAUUUGCAGAUCCUGAGGGAAUUUGGGAGAUAAUUUUGGAAUUUUGGGGAAAAUUUCGGGAGAAUUUUGGGAUUUUGGGGUUUUACAGAGAAUUUAGGGAUUUUGAGGGGAUAAUUUGGGAAAUUUUGGGAUUUUGUGGGGAAUUUUUGGGUUUUGAAGGGGAAUUUGGGCAUCCUGAGGUGAUUUGGGAGGGAAUUUUGGGCAUUUGGGUCAAAAUUAGGAGGAAUUUGGAGGAUUUGGCUGGGAUUUUUCAUAUUUUGGGGAAAUUUGUGAAUCCUGAGGGGAUUUGAGGUAGAUUUUGGGGAAA